UAUAAAUCUGUCAAACGUGCUAUUCCCGUCUCGUUUAUCUCCCGUUCCACCUACGGCAUCCGUUUUACUAUUUCGUACUAUUUAGUAUAUUCAUGUUCUGCACUAACAAUUGAAUACAAUUUUUAAUUAGUUAAUACUUUAACGACAAAACAUUUUAAAUAAUUAAAAUAACAGUUUAAAAUUAAGCUUGAUAAAUAGGCAGAUAAAACAUUUACUAAAAAUAAUCUAUACCUAUAAAAGUAAUAGAUUUACAGGUUUGGCACUUUUUUUGAGCUGCUUUUCCACGUAAUUGUCAGUGGCAUGUCCGUUCGAUGUCAGCGCCAGGACGACAUGUUCCUCAAAUUGUUAAAGGACCGCUCUAAUCCCCAGCUGCAGCUGGUGCAGGACCCUGCUCGGACGCCAGCUUUGACAGCCGCCGCUGAGGUGUGUGCCCCAAGUGCUUGGGAAUGCAAUACUGUCGCCAAAGAUAAUGAUGAUGAUUCAUUCAUUCAUAGCUAAGCUAGAAAAUCCUGAGGUCUGGGGUCUGGACUGAAUACUUGAAAUAAUCCAAAUGCCAAUUCUUGGCUGCUCGGGUGCCCACCCUAGUUGCAAGUGCCAGCUCGGGCGCCUAUCGGAAUGGCAAGCCCCUGAUCGGGCCCAAUGAUAUUCCAAAUAAAAUCCUAGUAAAAAGACUUUCAGUCCUAGAACAUGUUUAGCCAAUUGCAAAUUAUUAUUCGCUGGUCGGGCAUCCCGCCAAAUUGCACGUCCAGCCAAAUUGCUGCUCGGGCGCCUUCAAUGCUA